rnacentral:rRNA from 1 species
AUUGAACGCUGGCGGCAUGCCUUACACAUGCAAGUCGAACGGCAGCACGGGUGCUUGCACCUGGUGGCGAGUGGCGAACGGGUGAGUAAUACAUCGGAACAUGUCCUGUAGUGGGGGAUAGCCCGGCGAAAGCCGGAUUAAUACCGCAUACGAUCUACGGAUGACAGCGGGGGACCUUCGGGCCUCGCGCUGUAGGGUUGGCCGAUGGCGGAUUAGCUAGUUGGUGGGGUAAAGGCCUACCAAGGCGACGAGCAGUAGCUGGUCUGAGAGGACGACCAGCCACACUGGGACUGAGACACGGCCCAGACUCCUACGGGAGGCAGCAGUGGGGAAUUUUGGACAAUGGGCGAAAGCCUGAUCCAGCAAUGCCGCGUGUGUGAAGAAGGCCUUCGGGUUGUAAAGCACUUUUGUCCGGAAAGAAAUCCUUGGCCCUAAUACGGUCGGGGGAUGACGGUACCGGAAGAAUAAGCACCGGCUAACUACGUG